rnacentral:rRNA from 1 species
CUACGGGGGGCUCCAGUGAGGAAUUUUGCGCAAUGGGGGAAACCCUGACGCAGCAACGCCGCGUGAGCGAAGAAGGCCCUCGGGUCGUAAAGCUCUGUCAAGUGGGAAAAAAAUUUUCUGAUCAAUAGUCAAAAGACUUGAUGGUACCACUGGAGGAAGCACCGGCUAACUCCGUGCCAGCAGCCGCGGUAAUACGGAGGGUGCGAGCGUUGUUCGGAUUUACUGGGCGUAAAGAGCGUGUAGGCGGUUUAGCAAGUCAGAUGUGAAAGCCCUGGGCUCAACCCGGGAAGUGCAUUUGAAACUGCUUCACUAGAGUAUGGGAGAGGAGAUUGGAAUUCCUGGUGUAGAGGUGAAAUUCGUAGAUAUCAGGAGGAACACCCGUGGCGAAGGCGAUUCUCUGGACCAAUACUGACGCUGAGACGCGAAAGCGUGGGGAGCAAACAGGAUUAGAUACCCUCGUAGUC